rnacentral:rRNA from 1 species
UAGGGAAUAUUGGACAAUGGGGGCAACCCUGAUCCAGCCAUGCCGCGUGAGUGAAGAAGGCCCUCGGGUUGUAAAGCUCUUUUGUCCGGAAAGAAAAGCAUUCGGUGAAUACCCGGAUGUUCUGACGGUACCGGAAGAAUAAGCACCGGCUAACUUCGUGCCAGCAGCCGCGGUAAUACGAAGGGUGCAAGCGUUACUCGGAAUUACUGGGCGUAAAGCGUGCGUAGGUGGUUGUUUAAGUCUGAUGUGAAAGCCCUGGGCUCAACCGGGGAAUGGCAUUGGAAACUGGGCAAGUACAGUGCGGUAGAGGGUAGUGGAAUUCCCGGUGUAGCAGUGAAAUGCGUAGAGAUCGGGAGGGACAUCUGUGGCGAAGGCGACUGCCUGGACCAGCACUGACACUGAGGCACGAAAGCGUGGGGAGCAAACA